GGAAUGGUGUAGCUCAGUGGUAAAGCACAUGCGUGGAAUGCAAAAGGCCCAGGUACAAUCCCUGGUCCCUCCA